rnacentral:rRNA from 1 species
UUUGAUCCUGGCUCAGAAUGAACGCUGGCGGUCGUGCCUAACACAUGCAAGUCGAACGAGAAAGCGGGCUUCGGCCCGUGAGUACAGUGGCAGACGGGUGAGUAACACGUGGGUAACCUGCCCGGAGGUGGGGGAUAACGUUCCGAAAGGGACGCUAAUACCGCAU